GAUGAACGCUAGCGGGAGGCCUAACACAUGCAAGCCGAGCGGUAGAGUUUCUUCGGACACUUGAGGGCGGCGCACGGGUGCGUAACACGUGUGCAACCUACCUUUAUCUGGGGGAUAGCCUUUCGAAAGGAAGAUUAAUACCCCAUAAUAUAAUGAUUGGCAUCAAUUAUUAUUGAAAACUCCGGUGGAUAGAGAUGGGCACGCGCAAGAUUAGAUAGUUGGUGAGGUAACGGCUCACCAAGUCAAUGAUCUUUAGGGGUCCUGAGAGGGAGAUCCCCCACACUGGUACUGAGACACGGACCAGACUCCUACGGGAGGCAGCAGUGAGGAAUAUUGGACAAUGGGUGAGAGCCUGAUCCAGCCAUCCCGCGUGAAGGAUGACGGUCCUAUGGAUUGUAAACUUCUUUUGUACAGGGAUAAACCUACCCUCGUGAGGGUAGCUGAAGGUACUGUACGAAUAAGCACCGGCUAACUCCGUG
rnacentral:rRNA from 1 species